rnacentral:rRNA from 1 species
UACGGGGGGGGCAAGCGUUGUUCGGAAUUACUGGGCGUAAAGGGCUCGUAGGCGGCCAACUAAGUCGGACGUGAAAUCCCCAGGCUCAACCUGGGAACUGCGUCUGAUACUGGAUGGCUUGAAUCCGGGAGAGGGAUGCAGAAUUCCAGGUGUAGCGGUGAAAUGCGUAGAUAUCUGGAGGAAUACCGGUGGCGAAGGCGGCCACCUGGACCAACAUUGACGCUGAGGCACGAAAGCGUGGGGAGCAAACAGG